UUCAAGAUUUAGACAGAAAGUAAACCUGUUCCUAAAGGUAAUUAUAAAGUCAUUUAUAUAUAUUUUGGAAGUGCAAACUUUUGUUCACUAUAGAAAGCCUUUAAUUAAGUUGUAAUGUCGGGAAUUUGGGGGAUAAAUAGUGUCAAAAUUUGGCUAUGCACUCGUCAUGUGUUUUCACGGAAAAAUUUUACGUCCUCGCACUCACACACACAAACAGCAUAAACAUGGCGGAGUUCGAUGUCACUGGGAGUCAAAAACGGCCCAAUUUUGACCUUUGUUUACAAACUGUUAAUUAAUUAUGUAUGCGGUAACCCUUCUUCUCAGGUAAGAAAAAAAUUCAGUGGUUUUGGAGUUAAUUAACGGCGGAUAAAUUGGUGGCGACGUCCGGAAGAUUAUCCGUUUUCACAUAUAGACACAACAGAUGCAAGUAUCAUUUGCAAUUUCUCAUUAAUACUAUACAUUGCCAUACAAAAAAUAAAAGAUAAAAGUUCCUAUGCAUGUGCAAACGUAGUGUAGUUUGAUACAGACUAUAAACAUGUGUUUUUUAUUGAAAAGUUUCGGAUAAAACCCAGCUAAACUUGGCAACAAAUUGAGUUCCGAUGUAUGUGAAUGAAAACAGUGAAGACAUACAUGACCGUUUUUCUUUUCCCAUUUUCUCAUGAAUCUCUCUGAUGACUGAUUGAGCAUAAACCUUCAAAAGCCACACAGAAGGCCAGGUUUGUCUCCAUGGAAGCUCACCUGUGCGUUCAGAGGCUUAGAUUGGUACAAAUGAAGCUGUAAAAGGGCUCCCUGGGAUAUUACAGUCUUUGCUGCCGAGGAUGUCACACACCAAGCUAAAUCACUGAAUCACAAGAACCAAUGCUGUUCUUACAGAUCAUGCUUUGUGGAGCCAGCCUGGUCUGCCUCGUCCCCCGAGCCCCUUAACCCACGAUCACACUGCUAUGAUGUAAGUCCUGAUGAAUUUACCUGCCUUGUAUCCUGGAGAGACGAUUAUCUUUGAAGUGCUGUAUAUCUCCUCAUCAUGGAAUUGGUUUAAAGGCAGUGGACACUAUUGAGAGCGAAGCCAGGAAAUGACAUCAAAACCUUGGAGUAGACCAUCGGGAGGAACGCACACAGUUGAGACAUCAUUCUUAUUAAAGGCAGUGGACACUAUUGAACCAAGCCAGGAAAAUGAACGAACGGAGGAACUUUCACAGUUAAGACUUCA